rnacentral:rRNA from 1 species
AUUGAACGCUCGCGGGAUGCUUUACACAUGCAAGUCGAACGGCAGCGCGGACUUCGGUCUGGCGGCGAGUGGCGAACGGGUGAGUAAUGUAUCGGAACGUGCCCAGUAGCGGGGGAUAACUACGCGAAAGCGUAGCUAAUACCGCCUACGCCCUACGGGGGAAAGCAGGGGAUCGUAAGACCUUGCACUAUUUGAGCGGCCGAUAUCGGAUUAGCUAGUUGGUGAGGUAACGGCUCACCAAGGCGACGAUCCGUAGCUGGUUUGAGAGGACGACCAGCCACACUGGGACUGAGACACGGCCCAGACUCCUACGGGAGGCAGCAGUGGGGAAUUUUGGACAAUGGGGGCAACCCUGAUCCAGCCAUCCCGCGUGUGCGAUGAAGGCCUUCGGGUUGUAAAGCACUUUUGGCAGGAAAGAAACGUCGCGGGCUAAUACCCCGUGGAACUGACGGUACCUGCAGAAUAAGCACCGGCUAACUACGUG